UUUGUCUUUAUAAGAAGAGGAAGAUCGACCAGAGCUCUCUCUCUCUUCUCUAGGCAUGUGCUCUGAGAAAAGGUCAUCUGAGGACAAAGUACCCGUCUGCAAGCCAGGAAGAGAGCCCUUGCCAGAAACUAAACCCCGCUGGAAACUUGAUUUUGCGCUUUCCAGCCUCUAGAACUAAUAUGUGAAAAACAUUUAAAUCAGAAAGUAAAUGACAGGAUGAUUUGCAAGACACAGGGAUGUAAAAUUAAAAAGCCUCUCGAGCUCCAAAGAAGCAGAUUCUGCUUUGCUCUAUUUGUGAAAGACAACUGGAUGAGUAAAGAUUACUACUUGCAAGGAGACUAGCAAUUUAUCCAAAAUUGGAAACAGAGAAAACGGCAUCUUCUUUUCACUCAUUCUGACUCAAAAUGGGUGUAGCUCAUCAGAGUACAUCGUUACAUUUUCGGGACUUUUGCUACCUGGCUCACAUCACUUUGGUAGCUUGAACUCUGCCAUGAUUGGGAAUAUUUACACCACAAAAAUGGGCUAAUCUCCUAGGAAUGGAUUCUAGGACGGCAUCAGCAU
rnacentral:lncRNA from 1 species